rnacentral:lncRNA from 1 species
CUUUUUUGCCAUUUGUGAAAUUUGCUCCUGAUUGCAUCACAGCUGCACUAUUUUUUAUCUAUAUCUUUAUUUGUAGCUUCUAGUUGCACAAGCAAAGUAAUAUGAGUUGUCCACCAUUUAGAAAAAUAUCAACUGAUGCUUUUAACUUCAUGUCUACUGAGUGCUUUUAAAUAAUGAACAAAUCUGUUAGAUUGGAAGGCCCGUGCAGAUGUUGUUAAGUUGCUGAAGAAUGUGAAGAAAGAGAUGACCUUGCUUGUUGUAAGCUAUAACCUUAAGUUCUAAUUUUGGACAUCUAUUUGUCUACUGGCUUAUUGCCAUCUUCUUCCUUUUCCUGGGGAAAAACAUAUAUCCUGCUGUAAAUAUUCAAACUUGUUUACCUCAUCUUCUUGAUAUGGAUGACUCCUUUUGUUUUAUUGAUACAUCGCACAAUUAACAACCCCUCCUUGCUGCUGUUAGCUCCUGGAGGCGCAAAAUAUAGUAUUAAAUGGGGACCCCAUUUGUUGCAAUCCCAUAACUACCAAUCAGUCUGAAAUUACUUGCUCAUGCUUCAGUACAUUUUUUUUUUCAGCCUAAUUAUGACUGUCAUUUUCGACAUGUGAAUUUCACUCGAUGUUGAUAGUUGAUCUUGAAGCAGUAUGUGCGCCUUUUGAAAAACAUGAAUUAGUUGCCCAUAUUGGAGUAUACUUUUGGAUGUUUACCUAGAUACUUAUGGGAAACACGGCUGGGGGGGAGGGGGUAUACUCUUUUCCUAAUUUUUCUUAUCAUGGGCUACUGUUUUACAGUGAAUUUUGGAUCAUGCUUUAUGGUUUACAAUGUCAAAGUUGACUGGAAAUUUACUUGAAAGACAAUAUUAUUACUUUGGUGAUUAAAUCAAUUUUCAAAUUAAGGACCGCUUUUCCAGUUUUAGAAGUGGAUCAGCCUGCUAGAAACUGUUGAAACAUCAUUGAAGAAAUGCACUUCUAAAU